GACGAACGCUGGCGGCGUGCCUAAUACAUGCAAGUCGAGCGAACAGACGAGACGCUUGCUUCGUUCACGUUAGCGGAGGAGGGGUGAGUAACACGUGGAAACCCCACUUAUCAGACUGGGAUAAUUUGGGGAAACCGUAGCUAAUACCGUAGAAUAUCUUGAUCCGCAUUGUUCAAUAGUAAAAGACGGUCUUGCUGUCUCUAAUAGAUGCAUCCCCGCUGCAUUAGCUAGUUGGUAAGGUAAAGGGUUACCACGGCAACGAUGCGUAACCGACGUGCGUGGGUGAUCGCCCACACGGGAACGGGAACACGGUCCAGACUCCUACGGGAGGCAGCAGUGGGGAAUGUUCGGCAGUGGGCGAAAGCCUUACGGAGCAACGCGGCGUGAGUGAUGACGGUGUUGGGAUCGUAAAACUCUGUUAUUGGGUAAAAACAUAUGUGGAAGUAAAUGUGCACAUCUUGACGGUACCUAAUCAGAAAGCCACGGCUAACUACGUG
rnacentral:rRNA from 1 species